UGACGAAGGGGGCUAGCGUUGCUCGGAAUCACUGGGCGUAAAGGGCGCGUAGGCGGCCGAUCAAGUCAGGGGUGAAAGCCUGUGGCUCAACCACAGAAUUGCCUUUGAUACUGUUCGGCUCGAGACCGGAAGAGGUAAGUGGAACUGCGAGUGUAGAGGUGAAAUUCGUAGAUAUUCGCAAGAACACCAGUGGCGAAGGCGGCUUACCGUGCCGGUUCUGACGCUGAGGCGGCGAAAGCGUGGGGAGCAAACAGG
rnacentral:rRNA from 1 species